rnacentral:rRNA from 1 species
CCUACGGGCGGCAGCAGUGAGGAAUAUUGGUCAAUGGGAGAGAUCCUGAACCAGCCAAGCCGCGUGAGGGAAGACGGCCCUAUGGGUUGUAAACCUCUUUUGUCGGGGAGCAAAAAGGCCUCGUGAGGCCACAAGUGAGAGUACCCGAAGAAAAAGCAUCGGCUAACUCCGUGCCAGCAGCCGCGGUAAUACGGAGGAUGCGAGCGUUAUCCGGAUUUAGUGGGUUUAAAGGGUGCGUAGGCGGACUGGACAGUCAGCGGUAAAAUCGAGAGGCUCAACCUCUUUCCGCCGUUGAAACUGUCGGUCGUGAGUGGGCGAGAAGUAUGCGGAAGGCGUGGUGUAGCGGUGAAAUGCAUAGAUAUCACGCAGAACUCCGAUUGCGAAGGAAGCAUACCGGCGCCCGACUGACGCUGAGGCACGAAAGCGUGGGGAUCGAACAGGAUUAGAUACCCCAGUAGUC